UUUGUUAUAUUAGAUUUUGAUUGUUGGACAUAUUGAAAGAGUUAAAAUACGGGAUCUAUUUCUACACUCAUUGUGUGUCGAAAAAACAAAUGAUUCGACGAACAAUCUUGUAAAAACUAUGUUGAGUGCAUGUCGGAUAAACCCCGACAAACAAUCUUGUAAAAACUAUGUUGAGUACAUGUCGGAUAAACCCCGCCCGUAGUUGGUUAGAGGAUUUGAAAAUAUUAUGAAAAAGUAAAUAGUAUUUUUUUUUUCAAGGACGGGCUUUUUAUAGUAUAUUAGGGCUGAUUAUUGAGCCUAAGCAUAGUUAUCACCAAAAAUGGAUACAAUGGGAUUGAUUGUGUGUUAGAUUUGUCAAGUGGUAACAACUCGUCUUGAUAUUGGGAUUAUCAACCA
rnacentral:lncRNA from 1 species